UAUACGUUGGUGUUCUAACCAAUAAUCACCGAUGCUAUAUUCUGUCCGAUCGAUUCAGGAACCAACUAACGAAUGCCAAAGCGCUGUCUAAACAAGACCAUACUUUGUGAAUUUCGUUAAGAUUCUGAAACGAACGCCAAAGUGUUACUUUGUGAAUUUCGUUAAGGUUCUAAUCUCGUGAACAUCGUUAGGUUUGAUGUGGUUUUACACUAAUACGUAUUCCACUCUGUCAAACUAUAUGUUUAACUACCAGAGAAGUCCGCACUCUACACUUACAAUCAAACAAAAUAACUAAUCAUCAGAAGAUUCAGAACUACCCAGUAGAUGCUUAGUUAUCAGAAGGCAUAAAAUCAGGAGGCUUGUUUAAUCAAAGACUAUAUGCUAACAAGGUAAAUGACAGUAGAUUGGAAUAAGAGUGAUGAUACGGCACCAAAAAGGCUUAAAGAAUUUACUUAUUUUAUCAAUUGAAUUAAAUUAAGAAAACAUGGUUUCAUAUAUUCGGGUUUAUCCCUCAUUAAAGCUACCUUUGUAAAACAUGGGUUUUAUCCCAUCUAUUUAAUAAAUAAAAUCCGAUGUUUUCUAAA